GAGAUCCAGUGGGCCUUGGACAUCCCAGCCAUAGAGGAGUUCGAAUGCAUCCUCUUCAGGGUCUGGUUGAAACGUUCCACCAAGCCAUUGGUCUGUGGGUGGUACGGUGUCGCCUUGAUGGCAGUGAUGCCAAGCUGCUGUUGGAACAGUUUCAUCAGCCGAGAGGAGCUGUAAUGGUGCGCAGUGGAAAAGCUUCUGGGAACCGUGUAGCAUAAUCACAGACCACCAGGAUGUGUUCGUGACCGCUACUGCUCUUAGGUGACCCGCCCAUGGGAGUGUGUGCGCUAAUUGCAUGACGAGUGGCCUGCAGGUGGUUGGAAGAACUAACCGUAGGUGUUCACCUUCAGCUGCAUACAGAACAUCAUCAACAACAAUAAACCGCACAUUUCCCAAACAUUUGUCACUCUCUGUUGUCACCUUGGCAAACAAUGGUUUUAAAGUUUGGUCUUCUUUCUGCAAAGCCGAAAUGUCAGCUGGUAUGUCAAAUGUUUCUCCUGUUGUUGUGAUCUCAGGAUCCGGCAACUUAAGUUUUUUCUCAAACCGUCUUUGACGACGUGUUUUUCUGGGCAUUUCUUUGCCUCUAUCAAAGAAAUUGUCAUCCAAACGUGGAAGACUUUGCAUCCCCGCUUUAGCCUGAGCUCUAGUUAGCACGGGAGCUGAGACAGUAACAGCUAGCUCACCAUUAGCUUUAGCUGUUUCAGUUAAUAAGUCCCCCAACAUAGGUAAAUCACACCCCAAAAUUAAAUCAACAGGUAGGUUCUCUACCACCCAGACAGUCAAAAGAUAUGAUUGUUCAUUUAUGGUCACAGUUACAUCCGCUUUUGGGUACAAAUGUUUGUCGCCAUGAACACACACAUUUGUUUGCCUGCUGUAAUCAAGUCCACCAAAAGGGAUUAAACUCUGUUUGACCAGAGAAACAAAACUGCCAGUGUCCAACAUAGCAGUAACCUGCUGUCCGUUCACAGUCACCUGUUUAAGUGGCUGGAAAGUGUCUUUGUCCAUGUGCACAGGCCCUGCUCCUGCGACAGUCUCUGGCCUGGGUGCGUAGCAAGCACCUGUGAAUUUAGUCUUGCGGAUUGGACAUACGGAGGCUUUGUGACCAAUCUGCUGGCAAUAGAAACACACAAGGUCUCAGUGGAGCGGUUUGAAUGGGAAGACGCUGAUCCCCACCCGAUGGCCGUGUAGACGCCCCUCGUCGAGCGUUGAGCUACUGCAGCGCAAGCCGGGCAGCAGUGAGGCCAUCCUCCGGUUCGUGCUCCUUCACCCACGUCCUCACGUCCGCGGGAAGCACACGCAGCAGCUGCUCCAGGAUGACGAUCUCCCCGAUCUGCUCCUUGCUGUGUUGCUCUGGGUGGAUCCAGCGACGGUAGAGGCCCUUCAGGCGGUGGUCUUUGUAGAUGUGGGCUUGCUGCUCGUCCAUUGCUGUGUAGGCCUCCAACGCCUUUCCGGACAGCAGUGGCACCAGGCGACAUGCCCACUCAGUCUCUGGCCAUCUCCACGUCCUGGCAAUCCGUUCAAAACGUAGCAGCUGGAGUCCUCUGCGACUGAGCUUGGUCCAGCGCCUUGGGGGCUGGUGUUCCGCCUUCGACCAGAAUGGUGCUCUGCCCUGGAAAAAGAGGCUUCCAAACCUUGGAGUGCAGCGAUGAAUCUGUCCUCCCGCUGCUGCUGUCCACGGAGGAAGUCUCUCAUCAUGGCCGCCAAGUCACCUUCUGGGCCUUUGGUCAGGCCUGGAGAACCACCAGAGGCACCAGGAUCCACCACCUCCUCCUCAGAGGAGAAAUUGGACGAUUGAGGGCCUGUGUCCGAUGUUGGUUCCAUCUCCUCCUUCUGGGAACGCAGACCUCUGUGUCUCACCUUUUUGCGGCCAGCCAUCUGCUUAUCCCACUUCUGACACCAACUGUCGUGGGUCCCACCAGGGAAUAAUUGGGCAGAGGCGCCAAGGUGAAAGUAUUCUUGACUUUAAUGCAAGAACAGAGCACACCAAUUGCUCCACAAAGGUUAACCAACAUCUGUUUCUCUCCUCUCAGACUCUCCAACUUCUCCACUCAGACUCCCACACUGACAGCUGUAUCUGGUUCUUUUUUAAGUGGUAAGCCCCUCCUCCUGGGCGUUGCUCUCCAUCAGUCCAAAGAGAAAAUAGGGAGAAGUGUUUGCAUUGUUCAACAACAUAAAUAAACAUACAGAAAUAAACAG